CGCACUGUGGGACGAAAUUCGGCUCUCAUUGACAUAAAAACCGAAGUUGUUAUUUUUAUUUUUUUUUAUUGAAAUAUGUUUUGCUAGGCAUUGUUAUGGUAACCUAUGAAUUUUAGACGAUUUGGAAUGAAAAUUGUCCAGUUACGAUUUUUUUUCAAAAACAAUGUAUGGAGCAGGAACAAGAAAUCAUUAUUACUCAAGAACCGCAAAACAAACCGUAAUAUCCUCGCAAGUGGUUAUACUACGAAUUAUUUGUGAUUUUUUGGCAUAUUACAUAUAUCCGUCACGGGUGCGGUUU